rnacentral:snRNA from 1 species
GGAUGUGAAGGCAAUCUGGCUGAGACAUCUGUCACCCCACUGAUUGCCAGGCUGGAUUCUACUGAUCUGGCUGGCUAGAAGGUUUCCCUUUGACCCUUCACUGUUCCAAGUGUGUCCCUCCUGAAGCCGUGAGCUUGGUCAAAGAGGAUGACCACCCCUGAGAGAGGAGGACUGUUUCCUCCUAAAAGGUCAUGAGUAGCUGCGCUCCCCUGCUAGAAUCUUCACAUAGCAUUCAGAAGAAACUCUAUCCAUAGCUUUCCAGAAGAAGAAAUCAAAAUUUAGAGGCUAAAUAACUUU